rnacentral:rRNA from 1 species
AUUGAACGCUGGCGGCAGGCUUAACACAUGCAAGUCGAGCGGAGAUGAGGUGCUUGCACCUUAUCUUAGCGGCGGACGGGUGAGUAAUGCUUAGGAAUCUGCCUAUUAGUGGGGGACAACAUUCCGAAAGGAAUGCUAAUACCGCAUACGCCCUACGGGGGAAAGCAGGGGAUCUUCGGACCUUGCGCUAAUAGAUGAGCCUAAGUCGGAUUAGCUAGUUGGUGGGGUAAAGGCCUACCAAGGCGACGAUCUGUAGCGGGUCUGAGAGGAUGAUCCGCCACACUGGGACUGAGACACGGCCCAGACUCCUACGGGAGGCAGCAGUGGGGAAUAUUGGACAAUGGGCGGAAGCCUGAUCCAGCCAUGCCGCGUGUGUGAAGAAGGCCUUUUGGUUGUAAAGCACUUUAAGCGAGGAGGAGGCUACUUAGAUUAAUACUCUGGGAUAGUGGACGUUACUCGCAGAAUAAGCACCGGCUAACUCUGUGCCAGCAGCCGCCGUAAUAC